rnacentral:ncRNA from 13 species
CAAUAGCCUAGUGGAUAAGGCAUCAGCUUUCUAAGCUGUCGAUCGCAGGUUCGAAUCCUGCUUGGGG